rnacentral:rRNA from 1 species
ACCUUAACCCCCAAAAUUCCAUUAAUUUUCAUGAACCCCUAAUUUAUAAUGAAUGACUCCAUAUUUAUAUGGAAGACACCAUGCUAGGAUUAGUAACAAGAAUUUAUAAUUCUCCAAAAUGCAAAUAUAAACCAACAUGGAUGGACCAUUGGUAGUUACCGAACCUAAAUUUUAUGCAAUAACACCCACAAGAAAACUCUGCAGUACUUACUCGUUAACCUAACACCAGCGCAUUACAGGAAAGAUUUAAAAAAAGAGAAGGAAUUCGGCAAAUGACGGCCCCGCCUGUUUACCAAAAACAUCGCCUCUUGACUUAUAAUAAGAGGUCCAGCCUGCCCAGUGAAUUUUAAACGGCCGCGGUAUUCUAACCGCGCGAAGGUAGCAUAAUCACUUGUUCUUUAAAUGGGGACUCGUAUCAACGGCAUCACGAGGGUUUUACUGUCUCCUCUUUUUGAUCAGUGAAAUUGAUCUUCCCGUGAAGAAGCGGGAAUAAAUUUAUAAGACGAGAAGACCCCAUGGAGCUUUAAACCAAAUAACAACUUAACCACUUAUCCCAUAAUAAAUUUAAACCCUGUUAUAAGGUUUUUGGUUGGGGUGACCGCGGAGUAAAGCACAUCCUCCACGACGGAAAGAACAAAAUCUUUAUUUAAGAACCACACUUCUAGAAAUUAGUAUACUAACGUUUACUGACCCGACAAUCGAUCAACGGACCAAGUUACCCUGGGGAUAACAGCGCAAUCUACUUCAAGAGCCCAUAUCGACAAGUAGGCUUACGACCUCGAUGUUGGAUCAGGGUAUCCCGGUGGUGCAGCCGCUACCGAAGGUUCGUUUGUUCAACGAUUAAAACCCUACGUGAUC